GACGUAGGAGGCGAGCGUUAUCCGGAUUCACUGGGCGUAAAGCGCAUGUAGGCGGUUGCCCAAGUCCGUUGUUAAAGCCCCUGGCUCAACUGGGGGAGGUCAAUGGAGACUGUGCGACUUGAGGGCAGUAGAGGCACGUGGAACUCCCGGUGUAGCGGUGGAAUGCGUAGAGAUCGGGAAGAACACCAGUGGCGAAGGCGACGUGCUGGGCUGCAACUGACGCUGAGAUGCGAAAGUGUGGGGAGCAAACGGG
rnacentral:rRNA from 1 species